UACAGAGGUCUCAAGCGUUGUUCGGAUUCAUUGGGCGUAAAGGGUGCGUAGGUGGCGCCGUAAGUCGGGUGUGAAAUUUCGGAGCUUAACUCCGAAACUGCAUUCGAUACUGGCGUGCUUGAGGACUGGAGAGGAGACUGGAAUUCAUGGUGUAGCAGUGAAAUGCGUAGAGAUCAUGAGGAAGACCAGUGGCGAAGGCGGGUCUCGUGGACAGUUCCUGACACUGAGACACGAAGGCCAGGGGAGCAAACGGG
rnacentral:rRNA from 1 species